AUUGAACGCUGGCGGCAGGCUUAACACAUGCAAGUCGAGCGGGGGAAGGUAGCUUGCUACCGGACCUAGCGGCGGACGGGUGAGUAAUGCUUAGGAAUCUGCCUAUUAGUGGGGGACAACAUCUCGAAAGGGAUGCUAAUACCGCAUACGUCCUACGGGAGAAAGCAGGGGAUCUUCGGACCUUGCGCUAAUAGAUGAGCCUAAGUCGGAUUAGCUAGUUGGUGGGGUAAAGGACUACCAAGGCGACGAUCUGUAGCGGGUCUGAGAGGAUGAUCCGCCACACUGGAACUGAGACACGGCCCAGACUCCUACGGGAGGCAGCAGUGGGGAAUAUUGGACAAUGGGGGGAACCCUGAUCCAGCCAUGCCGCGUGUGUGAAGAAGGCCUUAUGGUUGUAAAGCACUUUAAGCGAGGAGGAGGCUACUUUAGUUAAUACCUGGAGAUAGUGGACGUUACUCGCAGAAUAAGCACCGGCUAACUCUGUGCCAGCAGCCGCGGUAA
rnacentral:rRNA from 1 species